GCAAUUGGGGGAUCUAUAAUGCAGUCGAGCGGACAGAAGGGAGCUUGCUCCCGGAUGUUAGCGGCGGACGGGUGAGUAACACGUGGGUAACCUGCCUGUAAGACUGGGAUAACUCCGGGAAACCGGAGCUAAUACCGGAUAGUUCCUUGAACCGCAUGGUUCAAGGAUGAAAGACGGUUUCGGCUGUCACUUACAGAUGGACCCGCGGCGCAUUAGCUAGUUGGUGGGGUAAUGGCUCACCAAGGCGACGAUGCGUAGCCGACCUGAGAGGGUGAUCGGCCACACUGGGACUGAGACACGGCCCAGACUCCUACGGGAGGCAGCAGUAGGGAAUCUUCCGCAAUGGACGAAAGUCUGACGGAGCAACGCCGCGUGAGUGAUGAAGGUUUUCGGAUCGUAAAGCUCUGUUGUUAGGGAAGAACAAGUGCGAGAGUAACUGCUCGCACCUUGACGGUACCUAACCAGAAAGCCACGGCUAACUACGUGCCAGCAGCCGCGGUAAUACGUAGGUGGCAAGCGUUGUCCGGAAUUAUUGGGCGUAAAGGGCUCGCAGGCGGUUUCUUAAGUCUGAUGUGAAAGCCCCCGGCUCAACCGGGGAGGGUCAUUGGAAACUGGGAAACUUGAGUGCAGAAGAGGAGAGUGGAAUUCCACGUGUAGCGGUGAAAUGCGUAGAGAUGUGGAGGAACACCAGUGGCGAAGGCGACUCUCUGGUCUGUAACUGACGCUGAGGAGCGAAAGCGUGGGGGAGCGAACAGGAUUAGAUACCCUGGUAGUCCACGCCGUAAACGAUGGAGUGCUAAGUGUUAGGGGGUUCCGCCCCUUAGUGCUGCAGCUAACGCAUUAAGCACUCCGCCUGGGGAGUACGUCCGCAAGACUGAACUUAGAGAGUAUUAUAUUUUGCGCGCGGGAA
rnacentral:rRNA from 1 species